rnacentral:tRNA from 1 species
GCCGAGGUGGCGAAACGGCAGACGCGCUGCGUUCAGGGCGCAGUGUCCUUUAGGACUUGUGGGUUCAAAUCCCUCCCUCGGCACCA